UAGGGAAUAUUGGGCAAUGGACGCAAGUCUGACCCAGCCAUGCCGCGUGAAGGAUGAAGGCCCUAUGGGUUGUAAACUUCUUUUGUACGGGAAAAAACCUCACCACGUGUGGUGAGCUGAUGGUACCGUGAGAAUAAGGAUCGGCUAACUCCGUGCCAGCAGCCGCGGUAAUACGGAGGAUCCAAGCGUUGUCCGGAUUUAUUGGGUUUAAAGGGUGCGUAGGCGGAUAAUUAAGUCAGUGGUGAAAUCUUGCGGCUCAACCGUAAAAUUGCCAUUGAAACUGAUUAUCUUGAGUACAGUUGAGGUGGGCGGAAUGUAUCAUGUAGCGGUGAAAUGCUUAGAUAUGAUACAGAACACCUAUUGCGAAAGCAGCUCACUAAACUGCAACUGACGCUGAGGCACGAAAGCGUGGGGAUCAAACAGGAUUAGAUACCCCCGUAGUCC
rnacentral:rRNA from 1 species